AAAAGUACUGCCUAUAGCUCUUUAAAUGAAUAUUAAAGGACUGGUAAAAAGCAGGAAUGUAUUCAUUUGGGAGAAAUCUUUACUGCUUAUGCCUCAGAAACGACGUUAAAAACUAAACUAGUUGGAACAAAGACAGUCUCUGCACUUCAGCUGAAAGAAAGUGAAAGGCUUACAGAGGAUGUACGAGCUCCUUGCACAGGACAAACACCACCACUCUUCAGGACCAAGAAGAUGGAAGGAAGUAAACCUGACCUGUGGGAAGCAUCUCUCAACCCAUCCAGAUGUAUGGAACUCAUUGCUUAACACUGCAAAGUUGUUUAUACAGGUUUAUACGAUCUCCAUAUCUGUUCAGCUGCUGUUAGGCUGCCAACAAAUGGACUGCGUCACACUGGGUUUUGUGAGGAUUUUUGCAAUCCAGAUGCUUGUGCAGAAGAAACAGGAUGUAUACAGUCCAUUCACUAAACUCUUAAAUAAAAAAUGGUAUUCUGAGCCCCAUAAAAGCUAUUAAAAACAAGACACAAAAUUAAACUUAGUAACUUCUAAGAUGAAAACUUGUAGCUGUAUUACCUACUCCUGCAACCUGUGCCAGCCUUUCCUUUUCAUCCAAUAGUUGGUGUCUCUAACAAAUAUGUUGACUUCUUACCAUUUCCCCUGGUAUGUAAACAACUAAUUCAUUUAUUGGUGCUGAAUUAUAAUUGUAUGAGAUACAAAAGAAAUAUAAAUCAAAAGAAUGUACAUCCAGGCUGACAUAACAAUAAAAAUUAUUAUAAACCCUCUC